AAUUGUACAUGUGACUUACGUAAAUAAUUAAAGUUUCGGUUUCCAUUUGAGAUUGUCCAUUUACACUUUCGCCAAUCAAAAACAAUACAUUUAAGAUAAACUGUAUUGUUUGACAAUGUGUUAUUUUUAAAUAUUUCAUUUUCACAAAAAAAAAAAGAAAAUUGAUAAUAAUAAAAAAAAAAUAUAUUUUUUAAGAUAUUUAUUUUCCUAAAUGCACUCAGUU